CGUCCCCUUCUCCUUGUGCCCUCCAUCUUUCCCACAUCAGGGUCUUUUCCAGGGAGUCUUCUCUUCUCAUGAGGUGGCCAAAGUAUUGGAGCCUCAGCUUCAGGAUCUGUCCUUCCAGUGAGCACUCAGGGCUGAUUUCCUUCAGAAUGGAUCGGUUUGAUCUUCUUGCAGUCCAUGGGACUCUCAAGAGUCUCCUCCAGCACCAGAAUUCAAAAGCAUCAAUUCUUCAGCGAUCAGCCUUCUUUAUGGUCCUGCUCUCACUUCCAUACAUCACUACUGGGAAAACCAUAGCUUUAACUAUACAGUGGUACCUCGGGUUAAGUACUUAAUUCGCUCCGGAGGU